rnacentral:rRNA from 1 species
AAACGUUAGCUGCGCCACUGAGAAACAUUGUUCCCCAACAGCUAGUUGACAUCGUUUACGGCGUGGACUACCAGGGUAUCUAAUCCUGUUCGCUACCCACGCUUUCGCACCUUAGUGUCAGUACAGAUCCAGGAGGCUGCCUUCGCCAUUGGUAUUCUUCACAAUAUCCACGCAUUCCACCGCUACACUGUGAAGUCUACCUCCCUCUAUCGUACUCUAGUGAAUCAGUUUUGGAUGCAGUUCCCAGGUUGAGCCCGGGGAUUUCACAUCCAACUUAAUAAACCACCUACGCGCGCUUUACGCCCAGUAAUUCCGAUUAACGCUUGGAUCUUCCGUAUUACCGCGGCUGCUGGCACGGAAUUAGCCGGUCCUUGUUCUGAAGGUAAUGUCACGGUUAUUGGGUAUUAACCAAUAACUUUUCUUCCCAACUUAAAGUGCUUUACAACCCUAGGGCCUUC